rnacentral:rRNA from 1 species
GCUUUGUNGUCCGAGUUGUAGUCUGGAGAAGUGUUUUCUGUGUUGGACCGUGUACAAGUCUCUUGGAAUAGGGCAUCAUAGAGGGUGAGAAUCCCGUCUUUGACACGGACUGCUAAUACUUUGAGAUGCGCUCUCAACGAGUCGAGUUGUUUGGGAAUGCAGCUCAAAAUGGGUGGUAAAUUCCAUCUAAAGCUAAAUAUUGGCAAGAGACCGAUAGUGAACAAGUACCGUGAGGGAAAGAUGAAAAGCACUUUGGAAAGAGAGUUAAACAGUACGUGAAAUUGCUGAAAGGGAAACGCUUGAAGUCAGUCGCAUUGAUCAGAACUCAGCUUGGCUUUUGCUUGGUGCAUUUUCUGGUCAAUGGGCCAACAUCAAUUUUAACUGCUGGAUAAAGGCUAAGGGAAUGUGGCACCUUUGGGUGUGUUAUAGCUCUUGGUCACAUACAGUGGUUGAGAUUGAGGAUCUCAGCAUGCCUUAUGGCCGAGGUUUACCUACGUUCAUGCUUAGGAUGUUGGCAUAAUGGCUUUAAACGACCCGUCUUGAAACACGGACCAAGGAGUCUAACAUGCCUGCGAGUGUUUGAGUGGAAAACUCGAGCGCGCAAUGAAAGUGAAAGUUGGGAUCCUUGUCGUGAGGAGCACUGACACCCGGACCAGACCUUUUGUGACGGAUCCGCGGUAGAGCAUGUAUGUUGGGACCCGAAAGAUGGUGAACUAUGCCUGAAUAGGGUGAAGCCAGAGGAAACUCUGGNGGA